AUUGAACGCUGGCGGCAGGCCUAACACAUGCAAGUCGAACGGUAGCACAGAGAGCUUGCUCUCGGGUGACGAGCGGCGGACGGGUGAGUAAUGUCUGGGAAACUGCCCGAUGGAGGGGGAUAACUACUGGAAACGGUAGCUAAUACCGCAUAACGUCGCAAGACCAAAGAGGGGGACCUUCGGGCCUCUUGCCAUCGGAUGUGCCCAGAUGGGAUUAGCUAGUAGGUGGGGUAACGGCUCACCUAGGCGACGAUCCCUAGCUGGUCUGAGAGGAUGACCAGCCACACUGGAACUGAGACACGGUCCAGACUCCUACGGGAGGCAGCAGUGGGGAAUAUUGCACAAUGGGCGCAAGCCUGAUGCAGCCAUGCCGCGUGUAUGAAGAAGGCCUUCGGGUUGUAAAGUACUUUCAGCGGGGAGGAAGGUGUUGAGGUUAAUAACCUCAGCAAUUGACGUUACCCGCAGAAGAAACACCGGCUAACUCCGUGCCAGCCGCCGCGGUAA
rnacentral:rRNA from 1 species